UAUGAGACCCCUGCAGUGGGUCCUGGUCUGCAAGCCAGUAUGACAUCCACAAGACAGAAAAGUGGGAAAAGACAGACUUAAGAGAAACAGCUUUGGGCUGAUCUGAGCUGCUCUGGGCAACAAAGACAAAAGACUCACAAUACAUCGGGUGUCAUAAGCGGGGGAAGAGGGGAAACGGUAGGCUUGAGACACCUGCUGAUAACAAGUAUCAGGCGGGCGGAACUAUAGAAUGAGGAGGGCACAAGCACAUUUUCGCUGAAGAGAACAGUUAAGUUAGAGGGGAGGAAUUCAGUUGGAGCCAAGUUGACCUCGGCUGGAAGUGGACUUCGCUGAUUGGACUACUUCCAAUGUAACACAGCCAAAUUAUGGAUCCGAGAUGGAUUUUGCGUUCUAUAUCAUCUCAAGUGGCAUUUAAACUUUUUUAAAAGAAUUCAAUGGAAGUGAAGGUCGUGUUUGGGAUUGAAAUCAGGACGUGGCACUUACAAGUGUUAGGAGGACCCAGCAAGCAUGUACCUGGCCCCAGCUGAUAUCACCAAUGGCUGAGCCCUGCACUGGACCCAGGAGGACCCAGGAAGCAUAUGUCCUGCUCUCAGCUGACAUCAACACCCACUAGACCCUACACUGAACCCAGGAGGACCCAGGACCCAUAAGUCCUGCCUCCAAUCCUGGGGUUUUCCAAAACACAGGGCAACAGAGUUGAAAACCAACACACCAACCUGAUCAAAGAUGGGACCAAUACAUCGAGGAGGAGAGUUUUGCUUCAAGACUGAAAUGAUACUCUCCACAGAGGGUAUCCACAGUGACUAAGAGACAGCCCUGGGAGAUAGGCUUGGAGAGGGUGAGACUAAAUAGGGAUCUCUUUGGAUCCUCUGGGAGGCGUGAGUUCAUAUCAGAAACUUCAUGGGACCUGUAUUGUGUUGUGGAAGACCAGGUUUGGUGGGAGUAAUUGUCAGAGGGGGCAGUCCUGAAGCUGUGGAACUGCUGCCAACAUCCAGCAGAAAAUAGUGCUCUGAAUUACUU